rnacentral:rRNA from 1 species
CCGCCUGGGGAGUACGGCCGCAAGGUUAAAACUCAAAUGAAUUGACGGGGGCCCGCACAAGCGGUGGAGCAUGUGGUUUAAUUCGAUGCAACGCGAAGAACCUUACCUACUCUUGACAUCCAGAGAAUUUGCUAGAGAUAGCUUAGUGCCUUCGGGAACUCUGAGACAGGUGCUGCAUGGCUGUCGUCAGCUCGUGUUGUGAAAUGUUGGGUUAAGUCCCGCAACGAGCGCAACCCUUAUCCUUUGUUGCCAGCGGUUCGGCCGGGAACUCAAAGGAGACUGCCAGUGACAAACUGGAAGAAGGUGGGGAUGACGUCAAGUCAUCAUGGCCCUUAC